UUUUUAGAAUAAUCUCCUUUACAUCUUCAGUGUAACACUCUUUAUAAGCUAUAAAAAUU
rnacentral:tRNA from 1 species